GUCAAAAGUGGCGCCUUUGUGAGAUUGGUCUUGAGGAUUAUUCUUUCGUUCUUCUAAGCAGAUUCCUGAAUGCCCUUGAUUCUCUGGGAGGAUCAUCUUGGCUUGCAGAGAACGUAGGUUCCCAGAGCAUAAGCUGCUGGAAUAAUCCUCUUCUCGCUCUUAUAAUUGGUAUUCACCAAGUUAGGCUUUCGGGUUGGAAAUCAGAGGAGUGCAUCGCUCUAGAGAAUGAAAUUCUUGCAUGGCAGCAAAAAGGAUUACCCGAAA
rnacentral:misc_RNA from 1 species